AUGAGGAAGAGACAAGUGGUUGUGAGAAGAUCAGAGGAACCACAAAGGAGUGUUGUGAAAUAUGGAGAGUGUCAGAAGAAUCAUGCAGCUAAUGUUGGAGGUUAUGCAGUUGAUGGUUGCAGAGAGUUCAUGGCAAAUGGUGAAGAAGGUACAGAUGGUGCUCUGACUUGUGCUGCUUGUGGUUGCCACAGAAACUUUCACAAAAGAGAGUUAGUUGAAACUGAAUCUGUUUCUGAAUGUUCAAAUGGUACUUGA